GAUGAAGAACGUAGCGAAAUGCGAUACGUAAUGUGAAUUGCAGAAUUCAGUGAAUCAUCGAGUCUUUGAACGCACAUUGCGCCCCCUGGUAUUCCGGGGGGCAUGCCUGUCCGAGCGUCAUUGCUGCCCUCAAGCACGGCUUGUGUGUUGGGCCUCCGUCCUCCUCCCGGGGGACGGGCCCGAAAGGCAGCGGCGGCACCGCGUCCGGUCCUCGAGCGUAUGGGGCUUCGUCACCCGCUCUUGUAGGCCCGGCCGGCGCUUGCCGACACAUCAAUCUUUUUUCCAGGUUGACCUCGGAUCAGGUAGGGAUACCCGCUGAACUUAAGCAUAUCAAUAAAGCGGAGGA
rnacentral:misc_RNA from 1 species